AGUUUGAUCCUGGCUCAGAUUGAACGCUGGCGGCAUGCCUUACACAUGCAAGUCGAACGGCAGCACGGGAGCUUGCUCCUGGUGGCGAGUGGCGAACGGGUGAGUAAUACAUCGGAACGUACCCUGAAGUGGGGGAUAACGUAGCGAAAGUUACGCUAAUACCGCAUAUUCUGUGAGCAGGAAAGAGGGGGGAUCGCAAGACCUCUUGCUUCAGGAGCGGCCGAUGUCGGAUUAGCUAGUUGGUGAGGUAAAGGCUCACCAAGGCGACGAUCCGUAGCGGGUCUGAGAGGGUGAUCCGCCACACUGGGACUGAGACACGGCCCAGACUCCUACGGGAGGCAGCAGUGGGGAAUUUUGGACAAUGGGCGCAAGCCUGAUCCAGCCAUGCCGCGUGAGUGAAGAAGGCCUUCGGGUUGUAAAGCUCUUUCGGUGAGGAAGAAAUUGCUUCGGUUAAUACCUGGAGUAGAUGACGGUACCCGCAUAAGAAGCACCGGCUAACUACGUG
rnacentral:rRNA from 1 species